AUUGUCGUGUGAUUUAAAUAUUUAAACCAUCUGAUUUAAUGAGAUACACUUUGGCUAACGAGACACACCAACAAGUCUAUGGAUUAGACCUUAAAGUUAAGAAGUGUAAAAUUCGGAAUUUAAUCGUCACCGCUUCUGCGUUGUGGUCACACUGAAUUACGAGAGUACACGGACUCGGCAAUCUCUGGUGAUUUAGAUGAGGGCAACUGAGACUACUACGGUACAGUCUGAGUCUGAGUGUGAGACUACCAGGAAGUACAUGGAUCGGAUUAACGCAUUAACGUUUGUCUAGUCGAGCUUUUUUGAGCGAGGGGAUAAAAACCUAACUUGGAUUGCAACUACACAGUCACCAUAGUAAUUACAAUAAUAAUUAUCGGAAUAAUGAAUUUGGCUAGAGUUUUAUGGCACGAUUGAGAUUGAGAAAUAAAUCUCUGAUACGACGAGUCGUAUUCAUCCUCACAAUACUUAAUUUUCGUAUCACAUUUGAAUUACAUAUUUAUAAUAAUAAUUGUUAAUCUUUAAAGUUUUUCCGUCUCGGACUCGAGGGAGUCAAACACUGCAGCGCCGAUAAGGAGGUAGGUGAACGUGCAGACGAUCAACGAUAGGG
rnacentral:lncRNA from 1 species